GACGAACGCUGGCGGCGUGCUUAACACAUGCAAGUCGAACGGAAAGGCCCUGCUUUUGUGGGGUGCUCGAGUGGCGAACGGGUGAGUAACACGUGAGUAACCUGCCCUUGACUUUGGGAUAACUUCAGGAAACUGGGGCUAAUACCGUAUAGCAGCUCCUGCUGCAUUGUGGGGGUUGGAAAGUUUCGGCGGUUGGGGAUGGACUCGCGGCUUAUCAGCUUGUUGGUUGGGUAGUGGCUUACCAAGGCUUGGACGGGUAGCCGGCCUGAGAGGGUGACCGGCGACAUUGGGACUGAGAUACGGACCAGACUCCUACGGGAGGCAGCAGUGGGGAAUAUUGCACAAUGGGCGGAAGCCUGAUGCAGCAACGCCGGGUGCGGGAUGACGGCCUUCGGGUUGUAAACCGCUUUCGCCUGUGACGAAGCGUGAGUGACGGUAAUGGGUAAAGAAGCACCGGCUAACUACGUG
rnacentral:rRNA from 1 species